rnacentral:rRNA from 1 species
CCUACGGGAGGCUGCAGUGGGGAAUAUUGGGCAAUGGGCGCAAGCCUGACCCAGCAACGCCGCGUGAAGGAAGAAGGCUUUCGGGUUGUAAACUUCUGUUGUCAGGGAAGAGCAGAAGAAGGUACAUGACGUAUAAGACACGGCUUACUACGUGACAGCAGGCGCGGUAAUACGGAGGUGGCAAGCGUUGUCAGGAUUUAGUGGGGGGAAAGGGCGUGUAGCCGGGUUGAUAAGUCAGAUGUGAAAUCCUGCGGCUUAACCGCAGAACUGCAUUUGAUACUGGUGAUCUUGAGUACUGGAGAGGCAGAUGGAAUUCCUAGUGUAGCGGUGAAAUGCGUAGAUAUUAGGAGGAACACCAGUGGCGAAGGCGGUCUGCUGGACAGCAACUGACGGUGAGGCGCGAAAGCGUGGGGAGCAAACAGGAUUAGAUACCCUUGUAGUC